UCAAACAUAAAGAAAACCCUCUCCUCUGCCAGGGUAUAUCAUGGGCUAUAUAAACCCUCGCCAUUAUCUUCUCUCAGUGGUAUUCCUUGCAUAAGCUUAGGUUAUUACUGUGCUUAUGUUUCUCAAUGUUAGCGGCGGCUAUGUCAUACCAAUUUCAUGAAAUGUGAUGAAGUUGCAGCUGUUCUUUAUUCAUGGGAUAAUGGAAGGCCUAUUCCAGAUUGAUUUCUUGAAGGAGUACAAGAAGCUUUCUCAAAUAGGCCUUACAUAUAUCCCAUGACUAUUAUAUAACAUUCACAGCUGGAAUUGGGGAAUUAUUAGAAUGAACUGAAGAGAAGGAAAGCCCUGAGGAUGGUUAAGCAAGCUACUGAAUUUACCCCUUGUAAAUAGAUCUGUAGCAGAAAUUUUCGUCACUAGCACAAUCUGACGAGUCUGAAUCAGAUGAUACAGUCAAAUUGGACAGUUGAUGAAUUUUAACUUCAGACAACAGUUGUAAUAGAAGAUUGUUUAAUAUCUUCACAUUGUUUGCUGGAUCAAUUAUGAGAAUAAAUAAACCCCCAAUAAUCUGAA